ACCUUGAUGUGAAAUCGAGUAGGGCGGGACACGUGACAUCCUGUCUGAAUAUGGGGGGACCAUCCUCCAAGGCUAAAUACUCCUGACUGACCGAUAGUGAACCAGUACCGUGAGGGAAAGGCGAAAAGAACCCCUGUGAGGGGAGUGAAAUAGAACCUGAAACCGUGUACGUACAAGCAGUGGGAGCCCUUCGGGGUGACUGCGUACCUUUUGUAUAAUGGGUCAGCGACUUACAUUUUGUAGCGAGGUUAACCGUAUAGGGGAGCCGUAGGGAAACCGAGUCUUAACUGGGCGUCUAGUUGCAAGGUGUAGACCCGAAACCGGGUGAUCUAGCCAUGGGCAGGUUGAAGGUUGAGUAACAUCAACUGGAGGACCGAACCCACUAACGUUGCAAAGUUAGGGGAUGACCUGUGGCUGGGGGUGAAAGGCCAAUCAAACUCGGAGAUAGCUGGUUCUCCCCGAAAGCUAUUUAGGUAGCGCCUCGGACGAAUACUACUGGGGGUAGAGCACUGUUUGGGCUAGGGGGUCAUCCCGACUUACCAACCCCAUGCAAACUCCGAAUACCAGUAAGUA
rnacentral:rRNA from 1 species